GGGGCUGAUUCUGGAUUCGACGGGAUUUGCGAAACCCAAGGUGCAUGCCGAGGGGCGGUUGGCCUCGUAAAAAGCCGCAAAAAAUAGUCGCAAACGACGAAAACUACGCUUUAGCAGCUUAAUAACCUGCUUAGAGCCCUCUCUCCCUAGCCUCCGCUCUUAGGACGGGGAUCAAGAGAGGUCAAACCCAAAAGAGAUCGCGUGGAAGCCCUGCCUGGGGUUGAAGCGUUAAAACUUAAUCAGGCUAGUUUGUUAGUGGCGUGUCCGUCCGCAGCUGGCAAGCGAAUGUAAAGACUGACUAAGCAUGUAGUACCGAGGAUGCAGGAAUUUCGGACGCGGGUUCAACUCCCGCCAGCUCCACCA
rnacentral:tmRNA from 1 species